AUUGAACGCUGGCGGCAGGCUUAACACAUGCACGUCGAGCGAGCGGCGGACGGGUGAGUAAUGUCUGGGAAAAUGCCUGAUGGAGGGGGAUAACUACUGGAAACGGUAGCUAAUACGGCAUACCAUCAGAUGUGCCCAGAUGGGAUUAGCUAGUAGGUGGGGUAAUGGCUCACCUAGACGACGAUACCUAGCUGGUCUGAGAGGAUGACCAGCCACACUGGAACUGUGCCACGGUCCAGACUCCUACGGUAGGCAGCAGUGGGGAAUAUUGCCCAAUGGGCGCAAGCCUGAUGCAUCCAUGCCGCGUGUGUGAAGAAGGCCUUCGGGUUGUAAAGCACUUUCAGCGAGGAGGCGUUACUCGCAGAAGAAGCACCUGCUAACUACGUGCCAGCAGCCGCGGUAAUAC
rnacentral:rRNA from 1 species